AUCAAAUUCUGAGAAAGAUAGGAAUUUUAGCAGGUACUAUUCAACCCACUAUACCACUAUGGAUAAAAUUUCUAAGUAAAGACCAAGGCACAACAACGUAAUAUGUUCAUGACAAAAUAGACUAUUCUAAAACAGAAUUCAAAGAUGGAGCUGUCAAUACAGAGGAUAAAGUCCACAAGAUUUGAUAUACUCAAGAACCUAGGACAGAAGAAUUCUAUGUAAUUUGAUGAAGUAUUGGGAAAACAAAGUAUGAUUUGAAGACACCUAUCGGAGGCCUUUAUCCUGGGUCCAUCUCAAGAGUCAUCACAGCUGGCUUCAAGUCACACAUUUCCAUACAGAAAUAAGGCCUUGUUCUUUGUAGUAUAUCAUAAUAGUGAUCACACCUUAUCAACCCAUCUCAGUACAGAUGAUGUCAAUUUUGAUGGCCUGGAUAGGUAACAAUUGGAAUGCAUUUAUUCAAUGAGAUCAAAACUUACCAGAA